ACCAGGGUGUUAUAGUGGUUUGAAUGUUGGACUAGAACUCCAAGAAACCAAGGUUUGAGUCCUCGCUCAGUCA